GUAGGUCAUUCCAAUGGUAAGGUGCCGCAAACUUGAAAGCCUUUUUCCCCAGAUCAGUGCGAACGCGGGGCACAGAGAACAGAAGCAACCCUGGGCUGAAAAUUAUGUCU